rnacentral:rRNA from 1 species
GAUGAACGCUGGCGGCGUGCCUAAUACAUGCAAGUCGAGCGAACGGACGAGAAGCUUGCUUCUCUGAUGUUAGCGGCGGACGGGUGAGUAACACGUGGAUAACCUACCUAUAAGACUGGGAUAACUUCGGGAAACCGGAGCUAAUACCGGAUAAUAUUUUGAACCGCAUGGUUCAAAAGUGAAAGACGGUCUUGCUGUCACUUAUAGAUGGAUCCGCGCUGCAUUAGCUAGUUGGUAAGGUAACGGCUUACCAAGGCAACGAUGCAUAGCCGACCUGAGAGGGUGAUGGGCCACACUGGAACUGAGACACGGUCCAGACUCCUAGGGGAGGCAGCAGUAGGGAAUCUGCCGCAAGGGGCGAAAGCCUGAGGGAGCAACGCCGGGGGAGUGAAGAAGGUCUUCGGAUCGUAAAACUCUGUUAUUAGGGAAGAACAAAUGUGUAAGUAACUGUGCACAUUUUGACGGUACCUAAGCAGAAAGCCACGGCUAACUACGU